CCUACGGGUGGCAGCAGUGGGGGAUAUUGCACAAUGGGGGGAACCCUGAUGCAGCGACGCCGCGUGGGUGAAGAAGCGCCUCGGCGCGUAAAGCUCUGUCAGCAGGGAAGAAAGUGAUGGUGCUUGAUGAAGAAGCCGCCGCUAACUACGUGCCACCAGCCGCGGUAAUACGUCGGGGGCAAGCGUGAUCCGGCUUUACUGGGUGGAAUGGGGGCGGAGACGGCGAUGCAAGCCAGGAGUGAAAGCCCGGGGCCCAACCCCCGGACUGCUCGUGAAACGGCGUGGCUGGAGUGCAGGAGGGGCAGGCGGAAUUCCUGGUGUAGCGGUGAAAUGCGUAGAUAUCAGGAGGAACACCGGUGGCGAAGGCGGCCUGCUGGACUGUAACUGACGUUGAGGCCCGAAAGCGUGGGGAGCAAACAGGAUUAGAGACCCUAGUAGUC
rnacentral:rRNA from 1 species